AAUUGCCCAGAAAGAAGAGAAGAUGAAGGUAUUUUCUGUAGCUGUUACAGAAAUUAAAAUAUUAUAGGAAGAAAAUAAUGAUUAGCAAGAUGAAUUAUUGAUUAAGAAUUGAGUGAAUAUGAUGGCUAAUGAUCAUCCUAUUUAUAGGCAAUUAGGGAGGUUACAUGUAAGACAAGUGUGGAGAGCCUUUUAAUACUUGUCCAAAUAUAUUAGUCCACUUGGCUUCAAUAUUAACAAGUGUACCUAGUCUUCCAUGCAUGAAGACACAUGAUAGAUUUGCAUAGCUAUUUGUCAAACCCAUUCAACACUUGGCUUUAAGGCUUCAUACAAGAAGCCACUUGAAAAUAGAUAGAACACUUGAAAACUAAAAAGACCCAUGGCUAUUGGUUGUAAAUGAAUUUUCAAAAAGAAAUUUUUGACUUUGCAUUAUAAAUAAUACCAACAUAAACAAAUACAGAGAAAAAUGGAUUCGAAUGGACCUUUAUAUUGAUGAAUAAAGCUGAAAAUUUGCAACUCAAUCGAAAUAAUAAGGCAACAAUCGUUGGACUGAAACGCCGAAAUUAUAAACUAGAACCUCAAAUCGGUACCGAAAAACUCGAAACCAAAACACGACCUCAAUGAAACUCCAUGAACCGAGAUCAAUAUGGUUAACGCCAGCGCUGGUAGUAACGAUAACGCGGAGCGAAGGGAGGAGGCAUAACAAAGAGGAAGAAAUCUUGCCAACGAAAACUUUAGGAGAAGAAAUCAUGGUUCAUACUUUAUACGGAUUGAGCAGGUGUGGAAUAAGAUUCCUAUGGUUUAAGGAAUCGGAAUUUAUGGGACAACUGUUCGCCGUAGAUAUUGAAAAGCAUUGGCUGACCUUGGAAAAUUUGUUUUGGUCGGUGCUCUCUUUCUCUUUGGACAUUGGGGUGUGGGCGGCUGGAAUUUUCAAGGAAGGUGGUGGGUGAGGCCUUAGCUUAAGAAUUAGGUUUU
rnacentral:lncRNA from 1 species